CUCCAACGAAAGUAUUUCAUGUUCCGCGCAACCAUCUUCAUAAUUCUCACAAAAUUUACGACAUCGAAAGUUUAAAUGUUUUUUUGAUACCAUGAUAA